rnacentral:rRNA from 1 species
AGAGUUUGAUUCUGGCUCAGAACGAACGCUGGCAGCGUGGAUUAGGCAUGCAAGUCGAACGUGAAUCCGGUGAUCAAUCUUUCGGGAGAGUGAACCGGUGGAAAGUGGCGGAAGGGUGAGUAACGCGUGGGCAAUCUGCCUCCGAGUUGGGGAUAACCAUUCGAAAGGAUGGCUAAUACCGAAUACGGUGGUGUUGCUUCGGUGACAUUGACUAAAGGUGGGGCUCCUUCGGGACCUGCCGCUGGGAGAGGAACCCGCGUCCGAUCAGCUUGAUGGUGGGGGUAACGGCCUACCAAGGCUACGACCGGUAGCUGGUCUGAGAGGAUGGUCAGCCACACUGGGACUGAGACACUGCCCAGACUCCUACGGGAGGCUGCAGUCAAGGAUCAUUGGCAAUGCGCGAAAGCGUGACCAUGCGACGCUGCGUGGGGGAUGAAGGCCUUCGGGUUGUAAACCCCUGUCAUUGGGGACAAAUCACUCGGCCGUGAAUAUCGGUUGAGUUUGAUGGUACCUGAAGAGGAAGCCACGGCUAACUCUGUGCCAGCAGCCGCGGUAAUACAGAGGUGGCGAGCGUUGUUCGGAUUUACUGGGCGUAAAGGGUGCGUAGGUGGCUGCGUGUGUCGGAUGUGAAAUCCCGUUGCUUAACGGCGGAACUGCAUUCGAAACUGCGUGGCUUGAGUGCAGGAGGGGAGAGCGGAAUUCUCGGUGUAGCGGUGAUAUGUGUUGAUAUCGAGAAGAACACCGGUGGCGAAGGCGGCUCUCUGGAAUGUUACUGACACUGAGGCACGAAAGCUGGGGGAGCAAACAGGAUUAGAUACCCUGGUAGUCCCAGCCGUAAACGGUGCGCACUUGGUGUUGGCGGUAUUGAUCCCGCCAGUGCCGGAGCUAACGCGUUAAGUGCGCCGCCUGGGGAGUACGGCCGCAAGGUUAAAACUCAAAGAAAUUGACGGGGGCCCGCACAAGCGGAGGAGCAUGUGGCUUAAUUCGAUGCAACGCGAAGAACCUUACCAGGGCUUGACAUGCAGCUGCACGCCCCGGGAAACCGGGGUUCCUUCGAGGGUGCUGCACAGGUGCUGCAUGGCUGUCGUCAGUUCGUGCCGUGAGGUGUUGGGUUAAGUCCCGCAACGAACGCAACCCCUGUGGUUAGUUGCCACCGUCGGUGAUGAGCCGGCGAGCACUCUAGCCAGACUGCCCGUACAAGCGGGAGGAAGGUGGGGACGACGUCAAGUCAGUAUGGCCCUUACGCCCUGGGCUGCACACGUGCUACAAUGGUCGGUACAAAGGGAAGCAAGACCGUGAGGUGGAGCAAAUCCCCAAAGCCGGCCCCAGUAGGGAUUGGAGUCUGCAACUCGACUCCAUGAAGUCGGAUUCGCUAGUAACGGCGCAUCAGCUACGGCGCCGUGAAUACGUUCCCGGGCCUUGUACACACCGCCCGUCACAUCAUGAAAGCCGUCUGCACCCGAAGUCGCCGGGCCAACCCGCAAGGGAGGCAGGUGCCGAAGGUGUGGGUGGUGAUUGGGAUGAAGUC